GAUGAACGCUGACAGAAUGCUUAACACAUGCAAGUCAACUUGAACUUCGGUUUGGGUGGCGGACGGGUGAGUAACGCGUAAAGAACUUUCCUCACAGAUAGGGACAACAUUUGGAAACGAAUGCUAAUACCUGAUAUUAUGAUUAUAUGGCAUCGUAUAAUUAUGAAAGCUAUAUGCGCUGUGAGAGAGCUUUGCGUCCCAUUAGCUAGUUGGAGAGGUAACGGCUCACCAAGGCGAUGAUGGGUAGCCGGCCUGAGAGGGUGAUCGGCCACAAGGGGACAGAGACACGGCCCUUACUCCUACGGGAGGCAGCAGUGGGGAAUAUUGGACAAUGGACCAAGAGUCUGAUCCAGCAAUUCUGUGUGCACGAUGAAGUUUUUCGGAAUGUAAAGUGCUUUCAGUUGGGAAGAAAAAAAUGACGGUACCAACAGAAGAAGUGACGGCUAAAUACGUG
rnacentral:rRNA from 1 species